GGCGGAGCCUGCGGCGGGGCGUGCGGCCUCGCGUGGUGAGGAAGCGGGGGCCGCGCGUGCCAGCCGUCAGGCCAUGCUGCUAGGGUCGCUGCGGCGCAGUGCAGCCCGGAUGCUGCGCCGCGUGGGGCCCGGGAGUCCCGUCAGCCCCGCCUCGGGCGCCAGGCCGCAACCCAGCGCCUGGCCUCCGGAUAAAGACAGAGAAAACGAAAAAGAGAAAAAAUCAGUGUCCACAGGUGGCUGGCUCCAAAGCAAAAAGAGUGUGGCAAAGAGGCAGAAAAGUUGUCCAUCUCAAGGCAGCCAGGAAACAGAGAGAAGGGAGAAGAUCUGUGUCGAGGGUAAUAUUGCAAGUGGGAAGACAACAUGCCUGGAGUUCUUCUCCAAUACAACAGAUGUCGAGGUGUUAAUGGAGCCUGUGCCGAAGUGGAGAAAUGUCCAUGGCCACAAUCCUCUGGGUUUGAUGUACCAUGAUGCCUGUCGAUGGGGUCUGACGCUGCAGACAUAUGUACAGCUCACCAUGCUGGACCAACACACUCGUCCUCAGAUGUCACCAGUGCGGCUGAUGGAGAGGUCGAUUCAUAGCGCAAGAUACAUUUUUGUAGAAAACCUUUAUAAAAGUGGGAAGAUGCCCGAAGUGGACUAUGUGAUUCUUUGUGAAUGGUUUGACUGGAUUGUGAAGAACAUGAAUGUCUCUGUUGACCUGAUAGUUUAUCUCCGGACCAGUCCUGAGACCUGUCACCAGAGAUUAAAGUUGAGGUGUAGGGAAGAGGAGAAAGUCAUUCCGCUGGAGUACCUGGAGGCCAUUCACCAACUCUAUGAGGAGUGGCUGGUCACAGGAAGCCUCUUCCCUGUGGCAGCCCCUGUUCUGUGGAUUGACACAGAGCCUCAGUUCACCUUGGCUCAGUGACUCAGGGCCAUCAGAAGGAACAUGAGCUGCUGUUCUGGGCUGUGACACGGGGAUGCCCCUGGGAGGUGCUGAGGUGAUUGAAGCUGACCACAGCAUGGAGAAGAUGUUACAACUGUUUGAACAAAACCGGGCCCGGAUAUUAACACCAGAGAACUGGAAGCACGGCCCAUAGGAUGGGAGAGGUCUGUGGGAUCAUGCUAGAAACGUGCCGUAGCUGCCAAGUCAGCUAUUAGGAAUUGAGAACAGUCUGCUGUUACAAGGCCUUUGAUCUGGGCAGAUCUAGUUCCCUGAUGGUCCUUUCCUCCUUAGCCAGUGCCUUCAUCAUGGGUCUGUGGCCCUUCUAGGUAGAUGACAAAUGGGACCAAUGUUUGUUGCCACUUGCUGUAUGUAGCCUGGUAUUCCCCUGGUGGCUUUUCACUACUGGAUCCCUCUGCUGAAUUCCUUAAGAACUGACCCUUCUUUGUGUCUGACGUUGUGCUAGGUUCUGUGCAUUCCAGUCACUCAGGAAAGUGAGGUGGUGGCCUCACUUCUCAGGUGAGGAAUUUGAAGUUCAGAGAGAUUAAAGACUCCUCAGGUUCACAUAGCCAGUGAGCCAUGAAGCUGACAGCAUUCAUACUUUUGGUCCAGGCUGAUCUGCCUUCAGGGAUUAAAUCUUUGUGGGGAGAGCUGGCAGGGCAUUUUCUUGUCAUUGAGCAAUUUUCAAGGACAGUCAGGAUUUCUGGACUUUCACAAAAUUGUGCUGUUUGGCUUGAGCCCACUGUUAAAUGGUUUUCACAGCACGAAGGCACUGUGGCCUCUACCCAUUGUCACCUGGACUUCAGCGAUCACAGGAGAAUCACACAUUGACUCCUGAGGGUUGCCCGGACUCCUUGGGGAUGAAGGUCCUGCCAGCUCCACAUCAGGGAAAGUGUUUGGGGCCUGGCCAGUGUGCCUAAUGCUGAGCUGGGCCAGGGGUGCCGAGGCAGCUUGUCCUGGUUUCUGAGGCUUCCUUCCUUUGUUCUUGUGUGAAGAGUUUUGCCCUUGGAAUUACUUAGCAUUUAUGAUCCACAGAGAGACACAAGUGACCUUAAGUCUUUUUGAAAGAUUUUCCCAUCCAUGGAGAUAUCUUGAACCACAGAGCAUGAAAACAUCUUUACAGUUCAGAAGAUAUUUUGCAUUGCUCAGCUGUGAUAAGGCACUAAAGGCCCAACUGCCUCUUAAACCAAGUCAGAAUCAAAAGAGAGGAAGAACAUUCUGUGAGAGCAGUCUGAACAGCAAAGUCAGGGUUUGCAAACAAAGGCUGUGAAACCUUUGCUGGAGGUGGGCAGAGAGCACCUGGAGAAGAUUUGGGCACCAACACGGUGAGUUACAACUCUGCAGGAGCACAGCUGUGGUCGGUUGCUGUAAAUGAAAGUCACCUCAUGCCCUGUGAAUGUGGCUCCUGUGCAUCUACAAGUGCCAGCAGUUCCAGUCCCUGAAAGAGUGCUAAGAAGUCAAAGACUCCAGCUCCUACUCCUUCCUGUUUGGGCCAGUUCUUGGUCCUUUUCAGCUGAAUGAGAGCCAGCAGCCAAGGGCAGUGUGGGACUGUGUCUAUCAGCACCUGUAACCAAUGCUGGUAAUUAACCAGGAAACUGGAGAAGUCGGGCACUGUUGCUAUCAGGAAUCUUGACGUGCUGAGGCAGUUUUGGGGAGUUUGUAAAUGAACUGUGUAAUACUUGUCUCUUGGCUCAGUUGUAAAUGAACAGAGCAAUAUCUUUCCCCUUGGCUCAAUCUGAGCAUCCUUUUUGGGGAGAAAUGUAAUUUUACCCUUGUGAUAGCCAAUAAAUCCUUUAUCUAAA